GUCCAUGAAUGCGUUAUUGUUUUCUACUCCUCCUUUUGCUUAAUCGAAAGUCGGGGACACAGUGUUGCGCGGAGAAUAUUAAAUAGGAGAGAGAAAGAAGAGAGAGAGACUGGAAAGUUCACGAUGCUACGUUAAUGGCGGUUAGGGUUUCCUGUUGAUCCCCCAAAGCUUGAUUCCCUCGCUGUAAUUGUUUUCUCCUCUCUCGUUCUACUUGCACUCAAAACCCUAAUUUGAAGUUCACCCCCCAAAUUCAGUAUCUCUGCUUUGGUUUUUUGUUUUGAAAUUUUGGGUUGUUGUGAUGGGCGCGCCGGAGAAAUCGCAGACUAUCGCAAAUUCGAUGCAGCGUGUCAAGCUUUACCGUCUGAAUGAUAAUGGGAAAUGGGAUGACCAGGGCACUGGGCACGUCACUGUUGAUUAUUUGGAGAGGUCAGAAGAGCUGGGUUUAUUUGUUUAUGACGAGGAAGACAAUGAGACCAUACUUUUGCAUCGCAUUUCUCCUGAUGAUAUUUAUAGGAAACAGGAAGAUUCAAUUAUUUCAUGGAGAGAUCCAGAAUAUGCUACUGAACUGGCACUUAGCUUUCAAGAACCUGGUGGUUGCUCUUACAUAUGGGACAAUAUUUGCAGUGUGCAAAGGAAUAUGCAUUUUAAUACUUUAAGUAGUGAGGCAUUUCACAGUGUAAACAGUGAGUUAAGGGAGUUGCCUGCAGUUGAAUUGUCAACGCUUCCUUUGAUUGUUAAGAUGGUGGGUGAGAGUGGCAUUGCUGAUCAGUUGCGGCUUACAGAACUAAUCCUAAGUGAUCAAGACUUUUUUAGGAAGCUCAUGGAACUAUUCAGAGUUUGUGAAGAUUUGGAAAAUAUGGAUGGCCUUCACAUGAUUUUCAAAAUAAUCAAAGGGAUCAUUUUGCUUAAUAGUACACAAAUUUUUGAGCGAAUAUUGAGCGACGAAUUUAUUGUGGACAUUAUUGGUGCCCUCGAGUAUGAUCCAGAGGUUCCUCAUGUUCAACAUCAUCGUAAAUUCUUAAUGGAGCAUGUUAUUUUUAAGGAGGCCAUACCUAUAAAAAAUACAAUUGUGUUAUCAAAGAUACAUCAGACAUAUAGAGUUGGUUUUUUGAAGGAUGUUGUUUUGGCUAGAAUUUUGGAUGAGGCCACUAUUGCAAGUCUUAAUUCCAUAAUACAUGCAAACAAUGCCAUUGUUGUUUCUUUAUUGAAGGAUGACAGUACAUUUAUUCAGGAGUUAUUUGCUAGGUUAAAAUUGCCCACCACCUCUCCUGAGUAUAAGAAAAAUAUGGUCCAUUUCUUGCAUGAGUUUUGUAGUUUAAGCAAGAGCUUACAGAUGGUACAGCAGCUUCGGCUUUUUCGUAAUUUUGAUCGAUCAUCUCUAAAACGGAUACUGCUUUCUUGGGAGUCUUCACUGGUGGAGCUGACGGUGGAGCCUUGCAUUUACUUGCAAUUUUUCACACUAAAAUUUUGAUUCUUAAGCUAUUUCAUACUUGUUUGCAGAAGAUUUGAUAUCUUUUGUUUGGGAUCUGAUGAAUGAGGGCAUCUUUGACAUCAUCACUGACAUCUUGCAAAGUCAAGACAAGAAACUUGUGCUUACUGGAACAGAUAUCCUCACACUCUUCUUGAAUCAGGAUCCUAAUCUACUGCGGUCUUAUGUUGUUGGGCAGGAAGGAAUUACCCUUCUUGGACUAUUGGUUAAAGGAAUGAUAACAGAUUUUGGAGAUGAUAUGCAUUGCCAGUUUCUUGAGAUUCUCCGCAAUCUGUUAGACUCAUGCUCAUUGUCUGGAGCACAGUUUCACUUGACAGAGGGAUGCUAUUAUUGACAUUUUCUAUGAGAAGCAUUUGGGUCAACUGAUUGAAGUGAUAAUAGCAUCAUGUCCUUCAGAAAAAGUUGUUCAUGCAAGCAGCAAAACAAUAGAUCCUGGUCCAAGAAUUAAGUAUGUCAGUGGGGGGACAAAGCCAGAGAUACUAUCAAACAUAUGUGAAUUACUAUGCUUUUGCGUCCUCCACCACCCAUACAGGAUAAAGUGCAACUUUCUUCUUAAUAAAGUGAUUGAUAAAAUUUUGUUACUGACACUGAGAAGAGAAAAAUACCUAGUUGUUGGUGCUGUUCGGUUUGUUCGUACUAUUCUCUCACGUCAUGAUGAGCAUCUGAUAAAUCAUUUUGUUAGAAACGACCUUCUCAAGCCAAUAGUAGAUGCUUUCAUAGCUAAUGGCUAUCGCUAUAAUCUGCUCAAUUCUGCUGUUCUUGAACUUUUUGAGUAUAUUCGGAAGGAGAAUCUUAAACUGUUGCUGAAGUAUAUUGUUGAUUCUUUCUGGGACCAGCUAGUGAAAUUCGAGUAUUUGGUUUCCAUUCAUUCACUGAAAGUAAAAUAUGAGCAGUUUUUGGAUAAUGAUGGGACAAAAGGUACUGUUAUUAUCAAUGACCGAAGAAGACUGGAUGAGCGCGCUCCAGAUAAAGAAGAGGAUGACUACUUUAAUGACAGUGAUGAGGAGGAUACAACCUCUACAUCAAUUUCACAUAAUCAUAAAGGGCAGCAACAACAACCAGUGUUAUCCAAUGGAGUUGCUGCAAGCAACUCACAAUUAAGUCCAAGGUCUGGUGGGCUGGUUGACUAUGAUGAUGAUGAAGAUGAUGAAGAUUACAGGCCACCGCCAAGGAAGAAGCCUGAGGUUUCAGAGGAGGAUGAAGGGACAGUGGAGUCUUUUAGGCUGAAAAGAAAAUUGCCUUCAAAAGAUAAAGAGGAGACUGAACUUGUACGGAAGCAAAAAUUGUCUAAAAAUUCAAAAUCAAAGGACAGUGUUUUUGCUUCCUUGUGUUCAACGUUGAGCCAUGCUGUGCUACCUGGCAAGAAACCUGCAAGUAAUAUUCAUACUGGUCCUUGGACAACAGAUGGGAACGUGAGCUCAAGUGAAGGUAUUCAAGAAAAGGAGCCAGAUGUUUCUAGAAACUGCUGUGAGAGUAGCAAUGAGACAGCUGAAGUAAACCAUGUAGAGAAAGAAGCUGCUGCUUAUAGAAAUUUUUCUGAUGGCUUGUAUGGCACUUCAGAUAAUGGACAGUUGGGUGGCGAGGAACAUACAUUGGUUUCACCAAAAUCCUCACCAGAGAUGACCGUAAGUGGAUCUUGAGAUUUUAAAACUAUAUAUACAGAGAGGCAAAUUGUUUGUGCUAGUUCACCUGUGUAUUUGCCGGUGGCAAAAUGGUUGCUGUGCCUAUGUGAGACAAGGAUCUCUUUCUACUAAGGGGUAACAUCUGAUUAUGAUUCUGUGGACGUGUGGAGAUACUGUACAGUGACACUGAGAGGCGGCAAGAUACUACGCAACAUCUUGGAUCUGCUCCUAUGCUUUAGUAGGUUUUUCGGGCUUUUGAGCUAGUAUCGUGUAAUAUUUGCUAUUUGCUAGCAAUAAUUCUUGUUUUUCUUCCUUCUCAACAUUACAGCUCAUUUUUCUUUUCUGAUGAGGACUCUCGGUUGAGAAGGUUGAUCUUGUUAUCAUUUUUUUCUUAAAAAGUUAUAUUAACUUCUUGAGAGUGGGCGCCAAUAUUCGCCCAACACAGGUUUUACUUUUUCCCCCCCCCAAUUUUGUGGUGGAUGUGAUAUAGGGCCAAUUUUUCACAAAUGUAGUAAAACAUCAUCCGUUGUAAAUCUGUAUUGAACUGUUACGCAUGCAUUGAACUUCCCAUGCAGUUCUGUUAUCGUAACUAAAUUAUGUUGGUUAAUUUCGCCU